UUUACUACACCGUAUUCUGUGAGUUGCGAACGGGUGAGUAACGCGUAGGUAACCUGCCUGGUAGCGGGGGAUAACUAUUGGAAACGAUAGCUAAUACCGCAUAAGAACAUUUACUGCAUGGUAGAUGUUUAAAAGGUGCAAGAGCAUCACUACCAGAUGGACCUGCGUUGUAUUAGCUAGUUGGUGAGGUAACGGCUCACCAAGGCAACGAUACAUAGCCGACCUGAGAGGGUGAUCGGCCACACUGGGACUGAGACACGGCCCAGACUCCUACGGGAGGCAGCAGUAGGGAAUCUUCGGCAAUGGGGGGAACCCUGACCGAGCAACGCCGCGUGAGUGAAGAAGGUUUUCGGAUCGUAAAGCUCUGUUGUUAAGGAAGAACGUGUGUGAGAGUGGAAAGUUCACACAGUGACGGUACUUAACCAGAAAGGGACGGCUAACUACGUGCCAGCAGCCGCGGUAAUACGUAGGUCCCGAGCGUUGUCCGGAUUUAUUGGGCGUAAAGCGAGCGCAGGCGGUUAGAUAAGUCUGAAGUGAAAGGCAGUGGCUCAACCAUUGUAGGCUUUGGAAACUGUUUAACUUGAGUGCAGAAGGGGAGAGUGGAAUUCCAUGUGUAGCGGUGAAAUGCGUAGAUAUAUGGAGGAACACCGGUGGCGAAAGCGGCUCUCUGGUCUGUAACUGACGCUGAGGCUCGAAAGCGUGGGGAGCGAACAGGAUUA
rnacentral:rRNA from 1 species